rnacentral:lncRNA from 1 species
UUAAAUCAUCUGGUCUUUUAUCAUAAUUUCUUCCCAUAGUGUUUACAGGGAUAUUGUCUUCUUGGUCAGAGUCUGAUGCUUCCAAGGGAUUGUCUAUAGUAUCAUCUUCUGAUGAAGAGGUUUCAUUAUAUUCAGUUAAAAUUGUUAUUUUAUUUUUAUCUUUGCUAGUACUCUCACUUGAUAUUUUACUUUGUGUAGGUUCUUUUAUUUUAAUGCCUCCUAUAGGUUUUGGGGAAGUACCUUGUUCUUUUAUAAUGUUUUGUAAGAAUUUUGACAUAUCUUGUAAUUCUGUUUUUGGACUUAUUGUUACUAUUUCUAUGGGGUUUUGUGAUGGAGGUAUCAUUUUUGUGAAAGGUUGCUUAAUGGGUUUUAUAGCUGGAUCUAUUAGAUCAUAUGGUUUUGGAUCACUAUAUCGUUGGGAUAGAUAUAUAGUGUUUGGUUUUGGUAUCAAAGGAGAUGGUGCCUGGGGUGUUUCUAUGUGUUCUAUAUUUGUAAUGUCUUCGUGAUUUCUAUCUAUCUUUUCUUCUAUCCUAUCUAAUUGUUGGCCUAUGAUAUGUAAUGAUACAUUGGUCCAAUUGUUUUG